AGUGAACGCUGGCGGUAGGCCUAACACAUGCAAGUCGAACGGCAGCACAGUAAUAGCUUGCUCUUACGGGUGGCGAGUGGCGGACGGGUGAGGAAUACAUCGGAAUCUACUUUUUCGUGGGGGUUAACGUAGGGAAACUUACGCUAAUACCGCAUACGACCUACGGGUGAAAGCAGUGGAUCUUCGGACCUUGCGCGAUUGAAUGAGCCGAUGUCGGAUUAGCUAGUUGGCGGGGUAAAGGCCCACCAAGGCGACGAUCCGUAGCUGGUCUGAGAGGAUGAUCAGCCACACUGGAACUGAGACACGGUCCAGACGCCUAAGGGAGGCAGCAGUGGGGAAUAUUGGACAAAGGGCGCAAGCCUGAUCCAGCCAUACCGCGUGGGUGAAGAAGGCCUUCGGGUUGUAAAGCCCUUUUGUUGGGAAAGAAAAGCAGCAGGUUAAUACCCCGCUGUUCUGACGGUACCAAAAGAAUAAGCACCGGCUAACUUCGUG
rnacentral:rRNA from 1 species